GUGGGAGGGUAUAUUUAUACAGUGCCUUUCAUUUGGAAGGUUCCCAAAAUGAUUUGCAAACUGUAUAUAGAGGAAUGGCUCACCAUGGAAAUUCACCCACUUCCAGGAGAGAAUGCAGAAGUCAUUCCAUGCUGACAGCCAGUUUAAAUAAAACCGCAGAACAAUAUUUCAGUUUCCAGGCAAUCUUGUGGUGUUGGUGGAGAUGGCAGCUGCAGUUACUGGAACCAGUAAGAAUGAAAACUCUGAGGGAGGAGUCUUCUCUGUUCUAUACAGCUUGCAGUUUCAAGAGGCACAGCGCUUCUGAGGGGCCCUGAUUUUACUGCCGUGGAUAGUGAGAACUGCAACAACUGUCACCGGGAACGACUCCAUCCAAAUCCCAGCACUAAAAGACUUGAUCAAUGACUUCUAGCUGCCUAAGGCCAUAUUCCUGGGAAGACCAAAGUCCCACCUGAGUUCCCAUCUGGAAAAGCUUAAGCGUGCCAAAAGAAUUUACUGUUGUUAACAACAAACACCUGAGAUAGGCCCUUCACCUCUGUUUCUUAGAGUAUUUGUUAAGGAAAAAAAAAGCUUACAAAUCUAAAUAUUUCCUUUGUCCCUGUGAGAUGCAUAUGUAUUUCCUACAACCCUUGGAGUGUCUUUCUCAAAGACCUGAGACCUUUGAAAUGUAAUCAUGUAAUUUUUAGAAAAGGAUAGGGUCCCAGUCUCUCAUUGCCUUUAGGAAGCCUAACUUCGAUAAAUGCCAGUAGCAGACACUGGCAGCCUAAUCCAUUUUCAUUGACCCACCCUCUUAGCCACUUUUUGUAAUUUUUCACAUCUCUGACUCUGCUCUAUCUACCACUGGCUUCCCCUCCUGCUCCCUCAUUCCUCCUUGAAAAUGCCAAAAUCACCUCUGAACAUACUGGAAUUGAGCCCAGCUCCUUGCCCUACUACAUUAGUUAUUGAAUAAAAUUUGUUUUUACUGCUUUAUUACCAGUUUUGUGUAUCUAUGAAUUUGAUGAAGUUAAAAAUUCAAAGUUUCUGCUAAUAACUUUUUUUAAUCUGAAAACUCAAGCUCUGAAUUUCCAAAAAUGUGGAGAAGCCACAGGUAAGAGCAAAGAAAAAUCAGGAAUAGUAUUCCUACAGCACUCCCUCCCCAUACAUGCCAUCACAUUUUUUGUCCACAAGUCCAGUGGCUUCCUGCCCCAGGCCAAACCCUAAUUCCCCGCACCCCAACUCUUACCGGUUCAAAAGCAUCUGCUCCUCCAAUUAUCACCACAAGGAGUUUUCACAUGUUUUUUUCUUGUUUUGCUAGUUACCCAGGGCUUCUCCCUGGGACAGCUCUCUGGGGAGCCAGCAGGAGUACCACUUCAGCAUCUUGCUAGAAACAGAACAAUGAUGAAUGGAAAUGUUUCCUGUCUCUUCUCUCUCCAGUUCCACAUUCUUCUGCCAACACCUUUUGGUUCUUUCUUCCUUUACAACAUUUUCUCCCUACUGUCUAAAAAUUUUCAACUCCUAAUUCUCUUUUACUUCUUAUCUGGAAACAGUUAGCUCUCCACUCCUAACGUAAACUAUGAUUAUAGCUUACAUUGAUAUAUUCCACGACAACUUAAUCUGUAAAACAAAGGCCAAUUUACUCCAGAUCUCUUUUAGGAUUAAAAAAAAGUUAUUUGAAUUUUUGACUUCAUCAAAUUUAUAGGCAGGACUCCCUUUCCUAUCCCAGAGCACGCCUCACCUACCCCUCUUCCAAGGAUGAUUCUGUGGCUUGCUUUUAAAAAUCUGGCUUCUUCCUCACCUAUAAAAAUAUUUUCAGACAAUGUAAAUGACUGUGGCUCUCCUUUUUUCUCUAGCCAAUUAUGAAGAAACAUAUAUUUCUGAUCCUUCCCUUUUGGGUACUAACCAGUCCUCCUCACCUUUGUUAUUUAUCAUUCAGUCCUCAGGUAACUAAGCCAGGUAAAGAAGUCCUUGCACCAAAAGUAGUAUCUAGAACAUUGCUGCUCAAAUAUUGGCCAAGGGUUCAGCAAGAUUGGCAUCACCUGUUAGAUUGUUAGAUAAGCAGAAUCUCAGGUCCCUUCCAGUCCAACUGCACCAGAAUCUGCAUUUAGGGACUAAGCAAAUCUCCCUGGCUUGAGGAAUGCAGCCUGGUAGUCUACAGCUUUCGUUUUAAAAAGAUUUUCUCAAGGUGAAUUGCUUUCAAGAAUUCAUGAAAACACCAGUCUCCUCCAACUAAAACAAAAAAAACCUCUAUAACAUAUCUUGGAUUGCUAAUAGUUUAAACAUUUUUCCACAUUUCUCACCAGUAACAGAGUCUAUUUUUUAACUCAAUAACUUUGUGGAGCACUUGAUUAUCAUGUAUUACUUGUGAAUAUCAUCUGUAUUAAAUUCCAACUAUUUUAUUUAAAUUAACACUAAAAUGUUAACAGGAGCUCCUGUUUUAACACAAUUUCAAGCAGAGACAAUUGUUUAACUGGGUAAAUUGAAACUGGUUUUUACGGUUUAUUCUGUUUUUGUGUAAGUUUGUGUUGGGACUCAGAAAAUGGUACUCCAAAGUAUGGCGCUUUGGCAUGCUGAGUACUUUGAAGGAGAUUAGAUGGCCUCAGAAAGGGCCUCAGAAGCAAAGUCUGUCUCUGACCUUCUCUUGCCCUUCUGUCUCCCACUCCCUUUUCUCCCUCUGAAGCAAUUUAUAAAAAACAGAAUUCCUCUUCAUUAAGGCAGGUCAAAAAACUAGAACUCCUCUUCCUCAAAGCCAGCCAUAAAACCUAGAAAUAUUAUUCUAAUCUUCCCCUGCCUUUCUGUGUUGGAGCUGGCCAUAAAGAAAUUCGCAGACCCACCUUAUCUAAUAAUAGGUAAUAAGACUUCAGAGGGGUCCUAUCUCAUACCUAUGAGGAAAGAAUGAUACAUACAGAGGCCAGAAAGAAUUUGAACAGACAGCCCUUGCCAGGUUUCACCCAUCAGUCUAUUACCAUGAGAACAUUCACUUUUAUCCAAUCACAUUUCUAUUGGGCUAGCCAUUCUUUGUCAAACCUAAGCCUAAAAACAGACAGUUUUCCCUGGGUCUUUAGAUUUUCAUUUCUGAAGGCUCCCAUGUUACUAAAACUUUGAUUAAAUAAAUUUAUGUUUUUCUCUUGUUAACCCAUCUUUUUUUUUGUAGGAGUGUCGGUCGUGACCCUUAUGAUAGAUGAGAAAAGGUAUUACAUCUUUUUGCCCCUGCAUUUGCAAAGCUCUGUAAUUUUCUAAAAAUUUUAAAAUCAUCUUCAUAACUAUUUUGAGUUUAAUAAAAAUUUCUGUAACCUGGUUGUGCAC
rnacentral:lncRNA from 10 species